CGGGGUGUAGCGUAGCCCGGUAUCGCGCCACAUUUGGGAUGUGGAGGCCGCAGGUUCGAAUCCUGCCACCCCGACAA
rnacentral:tRNA from 1 species